rnacentral:rRNA from 1 species
CCGGAUUUAUUGGGUUUAAAGGGUGCGUAGGCGGCUUUAUAAGUCAGCGGUGAAAUAUUGCAGCUUAACUGUAAAAGCGCCGUUGAUACUGUGAGGCUAGGAUUUGGUUGCUGUGGGCGGAAUGUGUGGUGUAGCGGUGAAAUGCUUAGAGAUCACACAGAAUAUCGAUUGCGAAGGCAGCUCACAAAGCCAAGAUUGACGCUGAGGCACGAAAGUGUGGGGAUCAAACAGGAUUAGAUACCCUGGUAGUCCACACUGUAAACGAUGAUAACUCGCUGUCGGCGAUAGACCGUCGGUGGCCAAGCGAAAGCGAUAAGUUAUCCACCUGGGGAGUACGACCGCAAGGUUGAAACUCAAAGGAAUUGACGGGGGCCCGCACAAGCGGAGGAACAUGUGGUUUAAUUCGAUGAUACGCGAGGAACCUUACCCGGGCUCGAACGGUGCAUGAAUGUUCAAGAGAUUGGACAGUCCUUCGGGACAUGUAUCGAGGUGCUGCAUGGUUGUCGUCAGCUCGUGCCGUGAGGUGUCGGCUUAAGUGCCAUAACGAGCGCAACCCUUGUCAUUAGUUACCAUCAGGUCAAGCUGGGGACUCUAGUGAGACUGCCACCGUAAGGUGUGAGGAAGGGGGGGAUGACGUCAAAUCAGCACGGCCCUUAUGUCCGGGGCGACACACGUGUUACAAUGGGAGGUACAGAGAGCAGCCAGUUAGUGAUAACGCGCCAAUCUCAAAAACCUUUCUCAGUUCGGAUUGGAGUCUGCAACUCGACUCCAUGAAGUUGGAUUCGCUAGUAAUCGCGCAUCAGC